rnacentral:misc_RNA from 1 species
GAUGCAGAACGUAGCGAAAUGCGAUACUUGGUGUGAAUUGCAGAAUCCCGUGAACCAUCGAGUCUUUGAACGCAAGUUGCGCCCGAAGCCAUUAGGCCGAGGGCACGCCUGCCUGGGUGUCACACGUCGUUGCCCCCCCAUCUACUCCUUCGGGAUUGCGGGGGGCGGAUGAUGGCCUCCCGUGCGCCUCGUCGCGCGGUUGGCAUAAAUGCCAAGUCCUCGGCGACGCACGCCACGACAAUCGGUGGUUGCGAAACCUCGGUUGCCCGUCGUGUGCGGUCGUCGCGCAUCGAGGGCUCGAAAAAAUUGCCGGGCUCCGGCUCGGCUUUCAACGCGACCCCAGGUCAGGCGGGGUUACCCGCUGAAUUUAAGCAUAUCAAUAAGCGGAGGA